rnacentral:rRNA from 1 species
UUCCGGUUGAUCCUGCCGGACCUGACUGCUAUCGGAUUGAUACUAAGCCAUGCGAGUCUUUGUAGUAAUACAAGGCAUACGGCUCAGUAACACGUAGUCAACCUACCCUAUGGACAAGAAUAAUCUCGGGAAACUGGGCAUAAUUCUUGAUAGAUCAUAAUGCCUGGAAUGGUUUAUGGUUAAAAUGAUUCGUCGCCAUAGGAUGGGACUGCGGCCUAUCAGCUUGUUGGUGAGGUAAUGGCCCACCAAGGCGAUUACAGGUACGGGCUCUGAGAGGAGAAGCCCGGAGAUGGGUACUGAGACACGGACCCAGGCCCUAUGGGGCGCAGCAGGCGAGAAAACUUUGCAAUGUGCGAAAGCACGACAAGGUUAAUCCGAGUGAUUUCUGCUAAAGAAAUCUUUUGCCAGUCAUAAAACCACUGGUGAAUAAGGGGUGGGCAAGUUCUGGUGUCAGCCGCCGCGGUAAAACCAGCACCUCAAGUGGUCAGGAUGAUUAUUGGGCCUAAAGCAUCCGUAGCCGGCUUUGUAAGUUUUCGGUUAAAUCCAUGUGCUCAACGCAUGGGCUGCCGAAAAUACUGCAUGGCUAGGGAGUGGGAGAGGUAGACGGUACUCAGUAGGAAGGGGUAAAAUCCUUUGAUCUAUUGAUGACCACCUGUGGCGAAGGCGGUCUACCAGAACACGUUCGACGGUGAGGGAUGAAAGCUGGGGGAGCAAACCGGAUUAGAUACCCGGGUAGUCCCAGCUGUAAACGAUGCAGACUCGAUGAUGCAUUGGCAUAAUAGCCAAUGCAGUGUCGCAGGGAAGCCGUUAAGUCUGCCGCCUGGGAAGUACGUACGCAAGUAUGAAACUUAAAGGAAUUGGCGGGGGAGCACCACAAGGGGUGAAGCCUGCGGUUCAAUUGGAGUCAACGCCGGAA